GCCAGGUGUGGUGGUCCACACCUGUAAUCCCAGCUACUCUGGAGGCUGAGGUAAGUGGAUCGCUUGAGCCUGGGAGUCGGAGGUUGCAGUGAGCUGAGAUGGCACCACUGCACUCCAUCCUGGGCAACAAAGGGAUACCCUGUCUCAA
rnacentral:SRP_RNA from 1 species